ACCAAGCGGGAGUUGGCGGCGCCGGCUCUGGGGGCCCAGACGAAAGGCAGGAAAGGGCAGGCUUGACGAGCGGGAGGAUCGGUCAGCUAGAUACUCAACCCACAACGAGGAAGCCUCGCAUCCUACCGUUUAAGCAUCUAAGCCAACCGCCCAGCUAGUUAACCUGAGCGGCCCGCUGCAGCCGUGGUUCGUCAGGCAGGUUCAUCACCUCAGGUUCCCGGCCGCCCCCCCGCAGCCGUGGUGGCAACCCUGGGAGGAGCGCUUGCGUCCAUCUCCUUCGAUUCUCGGGAUUUGAAGAUGGCUGAACAGUCAGCGCCGAAAGUUGUGCUAAAAAGCACCAUCAAGAUGUCUCUAAAUGAGCGCUUUACUAAUAUGCUGAAGAACAAACAGCCGAUGCCAGUGAAUAUUCGGGCUUCGAUGCAGCAGCAGCAGCUAGCCAGUGCCAGAAACAGAAGACUGGCCCAGCAGAUAGAGAAUAGACCCUCUUUCCAGGCAGCAUUAAAACUUAAGCAGAAGAGCUUAAAGCAGCGCCUGGGUAAGAGUGAUAUCCAGGCACGGUUAGGCCGACCCAUAGGUGCCGUGGCCAGGGGAGCAAUUGGAGGAAGAGGCCUACCCAUAAUCCAGAGAGGCUUGCCACGAGGAGGACUACGUGGGGGACGUGCUACCAGAACCCUGCUUAGGGGUGGGAUGUCACUCCGAGGUCGGGGUAUGAUAGGUUGGGGAAGAGAGGGCUUUGGAGGUAGAGGCCGAGGUCGUGGCCGAGGGAGAGGUGCCCUCACUCGCCCUGUAUUGACCAAGGAGCAGCUGGACAACCAAUUGGAUGCAUACAUGUCGAAAACUAAAGGGCACCUGGAUGCUGAAUUGGAUGCCUACAUGGCACAGACAGAUCCUGAAACCAAUGAUUGAAGCCUGCCUGCCCGCCCGCCUGCCUGUUAGACUCUUGUUAAAGUCACCACAUCUGUAAAACAACCUUGAGAAAACAUGAGAAGAAAUCUGAUCGAUGCUGGAAGGACCUGUCACAAUAGGCUGUGGACUUACCUGCCACCAGUUGGUGCGUUUAGUCUGUUCCGUCUACUUUUUGAUACUGUGUUAUAUGAAACCCUAUUUUCCUUUAAAUUUGGUUGAGUUUGUUUUGUUGUUUAUCCAGUCACCCAG
rnacentral:lncRNA from 1 species